rnacentral:rRNA from 1 species
AGCCCUAUAGUUUGAAACCCCGAAACCAGGUGAGCUACCCCGAGACAGCCUAUUUAAACUUAGGGCUAACCCGUCUCUGUGGCAAAAGAGUGGGAAGAGCUCCGGGUAGAAGUGACAGACCUACCGAACCUGGUGAUAGCUGGUUGCCUGAGAAAUGGAUAAAAGUUCAGCCUCGUACGCCCCUAGUCAAAUAAAUAUAAUAUUAAGACACAGGGAAAUAUACGAGAGUUAGUUAAAGGAGGUACAGCCCCUCUAACAAAGGAUACAACCUUCACAGGUGGAUAAAGAUCACAAUAUACAAAAUAUACUGUUUUAGUGGGCCUAAAAGCAGCCAUCUAAACAGAAAGCGUUAAAGCUCAGACAGAAUACAAUUUAUUAUACUGAUAAUAAAUCUUACUCCCCUAAAAAUAUCAGGCUAACCCAUGCACCCAUGGAAGAAAUUAUGCUAAAAUGAGUAACAAGAAGACCCGCUCUUCUCCAAGCACAAGUGUAAGCUAGAUCGGACUAACCACUGGAAAUUAACGAACCCAACCCAAGAGAGUAUUGUGAAUAACAAAAAAGCCAAGAAAAACCCACAAUUAAUAUAAUCGUUAACCCCACACUGGAGUGCUAUUUUAAAGGAAAGACUAAAAGAAGGGAAAGGAACUCGGCAAACACAAGCCUCGCCUGUUUACCAAAAACAUCGCCUCCUGCAACUAAAUUGAGUAUAGGAGGUCCAGCCUGCCCAGUGACUACGGGUUCAACGGCCGCGGUAUUUUGACCGUGCAAAGGUAGCGCAAUCACUUGUCUUUUAAAUAGAGACCUGUAUGAAUGGCCAAACGAGGGCUUAACUGUCUCCCCCUUCCAGUCAGUGAAAUUGAUCUAUCCGUGCAGAAGCGGGUAUAAACAUACAAGACGAGAAGACCCUUUGGAGCUUAAGGUACAAAAUCCAACCACGUCAAGCAACUUAACAAAAAGCAAGAACUUAAUGGAAAAUGGAAUUUUACCUUCGGUUGGGGCGACCGCGGAGGAAAAACAAGCCUCCGAGUGGAAUGGGCUAAAUCCCUAAAGCCAAGAGAAACAUCUCUAAGCCGCAGAACAUCUGACCAAAAAUGAUCCGACUAAUAAAGUCGAUCAACGAACCAAGUUACCCUAGGGAUAACAGCGCAAUCCUCUCCCAGAGUCCAUAUCGACGAGGGGGUUUACGACCUCGAUGUUGGAUCAGGACAUCCUAAUGGUGCAGCCG